AUGCCGGAGCCGACGCUGGGCGUCAACUUCCGGCCGGAUUACAUAAGCCCUUUCGCCUGGCUCGAGUUCAUUGCCCAACGGGCUGAUUCAUGGCUCAUCGGCGUCGCAUUUUUCUUCGCCGCUUGCCUCAACGCCAAUCACAGGAUGCGUUUAUUUGAUAUGAUGAAUAAUUUGCCAACUGUCUAUCGAACAUUGUAUCACUUCCACAAGAUUGUUUGGCUACCUACGCCACCAUCUCCAGUUUUGAUGCAAAAUGUGUACAAUCCAAAAGAAUAUUCGGGUGCACCUGCUCAAGACAGCGUGCCACAAUCUCCAGACUUAAUGGAAAACGUGUCCAAUCCAAACAUAAACUCUAUAACACCUGUUGAAGAGAACAUGCCACUACUAUCUCAAGACUCCUGGCAAAACGUGUCCGAUCCAAACAAGAACUCUAGGACACUUGCUGAAGAAGAUGAACAAGCGAUACUUUUGCGGAGAGUGUGGUGCUCCGUACCAUGCCAAUGGGUUUUGGAUCUGCUGUAA
rnacentral:rRNA from 1 species